ACUCAUGAUUCAUGGCUCUCCACCCCAAGCAUCGGAACUUGCCCAACUUCACCACAGAAGGAAACAGACUGUAAGCUUGGAGGGCCAGGGAGGAAACCGGAGGCAUGUGUGGGAGGAUUAGAAACAUGAAAAGAUAUUUACAGUAAGGUUCGCUUGUCAUCCUCUUGAACUGGGGGUGCAUAGAGUACAAUAAGACCCCAUGUGAGUAUGUUAGAUGAUAAGGCUCAGGUUGGAUGGGUGUGUAGAGUAAAGGCUUUGCAUCACCUUUGCCAGGGUGAGGGAAGGCUAUGGAUAGCACAGGGGACCUUGAUGAUCGGGUGAGGGAGCCCAUGUGGACAUAGUGGUCACCAGCUACUUCCUAGUUCUCUACAUGGGAGAAAGAGCCCUUCUCUGUAAUCAUGGAAGCUCAAGUUCUUGGUGGUUCAGAGGUUAGAGACCUCUGAUUACUAGGACAGAGCAGAAUAGCAGGGCUGGUCCUGGUAGAUCAGACAUCUCAUGACAUCCUUUAAAAGGGACUAGAAUAUUCAGAACUCCGGUGUAACUAAAUGAUCCUCAAGCUUUACCAGCAGGUGAGCAAGGUCCCAUUGUAUUUGGUACUCACAUCCCCACCAAUUCUGUAAAAGUUUGCCAACUUUCCCCUCCAUCCCCUGCACCCUUUCACCAAAAGAUAUGCCUAAGAGUUCCCAAGAGACGUCUAACAUAGGCCUGCAUGUCAGCCCAGUCUUCUGGGCUGAGCUGCUGCACUGUUGCUGGCCUUGAUGGCUGAACCUGAUCUCUGUUGUGGCACCCACCACUCUUUCUCAAGCCUUGACACCUUGGCAGGCUUUGGCAAAAAGAGGAGAGCUGUUCUUCCUCGGCAUUAUGUUCACUUAGCAGGGUCCCACAGCAGGAUUGCUUGGACCCCAGAGUAUUGUAGGGCUUAAUAAGACCAGCCCUUUCAUCUCACACGCUCUAUCCUUUCUCUCACUGGUGCACCCACGUCAGGUGUCUUGAGUGGGGAGUGCUCGAAUAUCUGCCACCAGCUUGAGUCAGAACCUCGACUUCCCUCAGCUUUUCAGGGUCUGUUACUGAGUCUGGUCCACACUCCAGGGUCUUUUCCUCACGGUCUGGGUCUGGUCUUUUUCAGGUGCCUACCUUUCCUCCCUGCAAACUGCCUUGAGUUGCCUCCCCUUCUCCCUUCCUUCCUGGUCUGUCAGAGACAUCUUGUCUGGGUGCAUAUUUGAACCCCAUCAGUAGACAGAAAACAUGUAUUUCCUUGAAGGCCCCUCAGACCCCAGGUACAAACAUUGAAGUAAAUAACAGCAGGGAUGGGGGUUCUGCCUCGCUUCACCUGCCAGCCACGUGCAGACCUUGUUUCAGUCCAACUGAGACUUUAGCAAGUGCUUCAUUCUGGUUUGUGAAUGGCUUCCCAGUGUCUGUCACUGUGUUCACAGGGCCACCGGGGUUGGCUGAGUCAGAAUACCAGCCAUGUGGCAUGUCGCAUGGGGCAAGAGCUGUGCUGCCCAUGGGAGUCCAGAGAAGGAGCACACUAAGGACCAACACCAGCUCUGCAGAUGAGCAAUAUCAU
rnacentral:lncRNA from 1 species